ACAGGUGCUGCAUGGCUGUCGUCAGCUCGUGUUGUGAAAUGUUGGGUUAAGUCCCGCAACGAGCGCAACCCUUAUCCUUUGUUGCCAGCGGUCCGGCCGGGAACUCAAAGGAGACUGCCAGUGAUAAACUGGAGGAAGGUGGGGAUGACGUCAAGUCAUCAUGGCCCUUACGACCAGGGCUACACACGUGCUACAAUGGCGCAUACAAAGAGAAGCGACCUCGCGAGAGCAAGCGGACCUCAUAAAGUGCGUCGUAGUCCGGAUUGGAGUCUGCAACUCGACUCCAUGAAGUCGGAAUCGCUAGUAAUCGUGGAUCAGAAUGCCACGGUGAAUACGUUCCCGGGCCUUGUACACACCGCCCGUCACACCAUGGGAGUGGGUUGCAAAAGAAGUAGGUAGCUUAACCUUCGGGAGGGCGCUUACCACUUUGUGAUUCAUGACUGGGGUGAAGUCGUAACAAGGUAACCGUAG
rnacentral:rRNA from 1 species